rnacentral:rRNA from 1 species
UUCCGGUUGAUCCCGCCGGACCUGACUGCUAUCGGAUUGAUACUAAGCCAUGCGAGUCAUUGUAGCAAUACAAGGCAUACGGCUCAGUAACGCGUAGUCAACCUAACCUAUGGACGGGAAUAACCUCGGGAAACUGAGAAUAAUGCCCGAUAGUACAUUAUACCUGGAAUGGUUUAUGUUCCAAAUGAUUUAUCGCCGUAGGAUGGGACUGCGGCCUAUCAGUUUGUUGGUGAGGUAAUGGCCCACCAAGACUAUUACAGGUACGGGCUCUGAGAGGAGUAGCCCGGAGAUGGGUACUGAGACACGGACCCAGGCCCUAUGGGGCGCAGCAGGCGAGAAAACUUUGCAAUGUGCGAAAGCACGACAAGGUUAAUCCGAGUGGUUUCUGCUAAAGGAACCUUUUGUCAGUCCUAGAAACACUGAUGAAUAAGGGGUGGGCAAGUUCUGGUGUCAACCGCCGCGGUAAAACCAGCACCUCAAGUGGUCAGGAUGAUUAUUGGGCCUAAAGCAUCCGUAGCCGGCUCUGUAAGUUUUCGGUUAAAUCUGUACGCUCAACGUACAGGCUGCCGGGAAUACUGCAAAGCUA